rnacentral:rRNA from 1 species
AUACGGAGGAUGCAAGCGUUAUCCGGAUUUAUUGGGCUUAAAGGGUGCGUAGGCGGUUUGCUAAGCGGGAGGUGAAAUGCCGGCGCUCAACGUCGGAAGUGCCUCCCGAACUGGUGGACUUGAAUGACUCUGCCGUGGGAGGAAUGUGUAGUGUAGCGGUGAAAUGCUUAGAGAUUACACAGAACACCGAUUGCGAAGGCAUCUCACGAAGGGUUGAUUGACGCUGAGGCACGAAAGCGUGGGGAUCAAACAGGAUUAGAUACCCUGGUAGUCCACGCAGUAAACGAUGAUGGCUAACCGCUGGGCUUAUCAGUUCAGUGGCCAAGCGAAAGCGAUAAGCCAUCCACCUGGGGAGUACGACCGCAAGGUUGAAACUCAAAUGAAUUGGCGGGG